ACCGGCGCAAGGGUGCGUAACGCGUGAGCAACAUGCCCGUAUCAGGGGAAUAAUCUAGGGAAACUUAGUCUAAUACCCCAUAGCAUUAUUAAUCGGCAUCGAUUUAUAAUUAAAGCUUUGGUGGAUACGGAUUGGCUCGCGUGACAUUAGUUAGAUGGUAAGGUAACGGCUUACCAUGACUAUGAUGUCUAGGGGUUCUGAGAGGAAGAUCCCCCACACUGGAACUGAGACACGGUCCAGACUCCUACGGGAGGCAGCAGUGAGGAAUAUUGGACAAUGGAUGGAAAUCUGAUCCAGCCAUGCCGCGUGCAGGAAGACGGUCCUAUGGAUUGUAAACUGCUUUUAUAUGGGAGCAAUAAGGUCUUUGCGAAGACUGAUGAGAGUACCAUAUGAAUAAGCAUCGGCUAACUCCGUGCCAGCAGCCGCGGUAAUACGGAGGAUGCGAGCGUUAUCCGGAUUUAUUGGGUUUAAAGGGUGCGUAGGCGGUCUGAUAAGUCAGUGGUGAAAGUUUUCAGCUUAACUGGAAAAAUGCCAUUGAUACUGUCAGGCUAGAAUAUGGUUGCUGUGAGUGGAAUGUGUGGUGUAGCGGUGAAAUGCUU
rnacentral:rRNA from 1 species